UACGAAGGGGGCUAGCGUUGCUCGGAAUUACUGGGCGUAAAGGGCGCGUAGGCGGCACUGUUAGUCAGGCGUGAAAUUCCUGGGCUCAACCUGGGGACUGCGCUUGAUACGGCAGAGCUUGAGGAUGGAAGAGGGUCGCGGAAUUCCCAGUGUAGAGGUGAAAUUCGUAGAUAUUCGCAAGAACACCAGUGGCGAAGGCGGCUCACUGGCCCGAGUACUGACGCUGAGGCACGAAAGCGUGGGGAGCAACAGG
rnacentral:rRNA from 1 species